rnacentral:rRNA from 1 species
AUGGCGCCGCCGCCGACAGCCUCCGGGCCCGUCUACAUCCACCGCUCCCGCGGUCAAAGAGGUUGCUCUCCGAUGAGGAAGAGGAGGAGCAGUAGCAGCUACCACUCCUCACUGAGGCCGCAUGCACAUACGACGAGUUCGCCACACACAUCAAGUUGCUGCUCGAGCCAUUGCUCCAUGACCGUGGUCGGCAUCCUACCAAAUCCAACACAGUGUCAAGGAGGAGCCGCCCUCACCACAUGCAAUUGCAUCGUCCAAUGCCACGGCGGCGGCGGUUCCUCCUGCCUCGUCAGACCAAAGGCGGAGCCGGGCCUCGGCCCCGUGAAGCGCGAGCACAACGACGAGGCCGCCUUCGACGACGAGGCCGCCAUGAAGUGGGCGUGGGAGGAUUGGGCGUGGACGAAGAUGGAGCGCCAGCACCGCGCCCUGAAGGAGAUCGCCGCUCGACGUCGUGGCUGCGACGAGGGAGGCGGCGUUGUUCCCGACGACAGCGGCGACGAGGUGCCGUCGCCGGCCAAACCAAUCCGCCAGGGGGACCCCGGGCAGGGGUCGACCAGGGACGGUCGCGUGAAGGGGGAGAAGAAGGACAUCGACGGCGUCGACUUUGGCGUGUUCAGCGAGUUCUUCAGCCUGUAG